CCUCCUCCUCCUCCUCCUCCUCUUCCUCUUGCCUCCAACUGCUGAAAACCUUGUUUGCGAUUCUUGCGAGCGCCUCUCUGAAAAGGGAGUCAAAAGGGGGGAGAGGAGGAGGAGGAGGAGU